GUAGUACAGGCACCGGGGAGAUCCCAUGAUCAGGAAGAUGGUUUUCCAAAAAAAAAAAAGGCUUAUCCAUUGCACUCCGGAUGUACUGAGCCCUUUGAUUUCUCCAAAUUUAGGAAACUCGACUGCACAAUUUGUGGUAAUGGGGGACAGUGUUUGCACACUCUCCUG